rnacentral:rRNA from 1 species
AGCGGCGGACGGGUGAGUAACGCGUGGGUAACCUGCCCUGUACACACGGAUAACAUACCGAAAGGUAUGCUAAUACGGGAUAACAUAAGAGAGUCGCAUGGCUAUCUUAUCAAAGCUUUUGCGGUACAGGAUGGACCCGCGUCUGAUUAGCUAGUUGGUAAGGUAACGGCUUACCAAGGCGACGAUUAGUAGCCGACCUGAGAGGGUGAUCGGCCACAUUGGAACUGAGACACGGUCCAAACUCCUACGGGAGGCAGCAGUGGGGAAUAUUGCACAAUGGGCGAAAGCCUGAUGCAGCAACGCCGCGUGAGCGAUGAAGGCCUUCGGGUCGUAAAGCUCUGUCCUCAAGGAAGAUAAUGACGGUACUUGAGGAGGAAGCCCCGGCUAACUACGUGCCAGCAGCCGCGGUAAUACGUAGGGGGCUAGCGUUAUCCGGAAUUACUGGGCGUAAAGGGUGCGUAGGCGGUCUUUCAAGUCAGAAGUGAAAGGCUACGGCUCAACCGUAGUAAGCUUUUGAAACUGUAAGACUUGAGUGCAGGAGAGGAGAGUGGAAUUCCUAGUGUAGCGGUGAAAUGCGUAGAUAUUAGGAGGAACACCAGUUGCGAAGGCGGCUCUCUGGACUGUAACUGACGCUGAGGCACGAAAGCGUGGGGAG